UUUUAUACAAGAGGAUUGCUCGAUCCCAUUUAAGCCUAUGUUCGCCAAAUAAAAUGUCAAACGCUCGAAUACGUGACGUCACUACGUUACCUCCGUGCUAUGUUUACAUGUGUAAAACGGCUCAUUUUCCUUACUUUCCGUGUGGUUUUUGUGGAUUAUUGUUCGUUUAGAGGAUUUAUCGUCACUGUUAUUAUUAAUUGACGUUAUAUACGUAGUUUGUUGUUGUUAGUUCGUGUUAACUUAUUAAUAUAGUUCGUUACCAUUGUGUUUGUGGUAGUUUAGUGUUCAGAGACUUUAAAGCCUGCAAUAGACUUUUAAUUUUACUCAAAAGGUUAAUCUUUAAAUAAAAAAAAAGAUGCCUGGUCUUCGAUGUGCAGUUUAUGGCUGCAAUAACAGUUUUGUUGGGGUAAAAGCCAAAGGGAAAGAUAUCGAAUUUUUUCCAUUUCCAAAAUCUAAUAAUUUACUCUCACAAACAAUUUACAAGGAGUGGAUAAAUCGUUGUAAGAGGCAGGACAGUUUUAAUCCGAAUCAUAGCCGAAUAUGUUCUAUUCAUUUUACCAGUAAUGAUUUUGAGAGAGACCUGAAGAAUGAACUUUUAGGAUUACCUACAAAAAAAAA